CUCAAAAUAGGAAAGUGCAAACCGAAGUAAACAGACGACACUGCUAUAUCAUAAAUUAACGUUAUUACGAUUUUAAUAAUGUAUUAGUAAAUGUUGAAAUUAACAUUAACUAAGAUUAAUAAAUGCUAGAGAGAGAGAGAGAGAUCAUGCUGCUCUGGUGUGUGAUUGAGGCCAGGGCUGGGUGUUUCAUUAUUAAGAUGGAAAGUCUCAUCAGACUGAAGCGACAUAUGGAACAGAGAACAUGGGAGUCUUGGCUAAAUCACAUCCUGUGAAAGCUGUCACCACACAGCAGUCCCAAUGGCCCAUUCAGCCUGUGGUGUCAUUUUUAUAACAUGAGACCAGGACUGAUGUGUGGGGAAGCAUCCGCAGUGGAGACUACGAAGCGAUGCAAGAGAUAAAGUGUUUCUAAUGAGCUUGUGGGACUCUUGGGAAGUAAAUAUUCUUUGAAUGUGAGAAAGGUCUGAAAUAUGAAAAGUGGAGGUGUGUUUUGGCUGCAGCACUGGUGCGCUAUAUCCUCUACAGCCUCUACAGAGUGUGACAGUGGACAUGUUGAGGCAGAGAAUACCAUCACACCACAAACAGCUAUACCAGACAGAGAUAGAUGGUGAUAAGGAGAAAGAGAUUUAAAAGAGAGAGAAAGAGAUAGGUUCCGCUAUUGCUUUACAUAUCACAAAAAUAAAACAUUCCCCAGGGCUGACAUUUCAGAGCUUCAUCAAUGUAGUGUGGAGGAACUCCCUUCCCCAGGCCAUGCACAGAAAGGACGAGAUAUUUCGAUCUGCAUGUUUGUGGUAAUUAGAAGCCAAAUGGGUCUUGUAAAUUCUUUAAGAUGCUACAAGGAGUUUAAGAGGUCAAUGGAGGAUAGGUGUUGGGCGGUUUGGGGGAAGACUGCAUUAUGAGUAUAGACUGGGUGGAAAACUGCACUAUAAUUUCUCAUUUUCCUUCUUUUGUUUGCCUGUUCAACUGAGGUAAGCUAUUUACAUUUUACAAAGUAAUUUGUUAUGUUUGACAUGAUAUAUUUGCAUUUGAUUUGCUGUAUGCAUGCAUUAUGUAUCAUAAACAUUUUUACUGCAUUUACCAAUGUUCAUUUAUAUCUCUGUUUAAAAUACAACUGUGUGUUGUGGGGUGAAACAUACCAGUAUAAAAUUACUAUUGUAAUUGUCAAUUUAUUAACAAAUGUUACUUUUUAAGUUAAAAAUGUAUUAGUAUAUAGUAGUUAACAUGAACCUAGAUUAAUACAUGCUGUAAAAGUAUUGUAUAUUGUUAGUUCAUAAUACCUAAUACAUUAACUAAUUAAAUCUUGUUGUAAAGUGUUACCUUCAAAAACAAUCACUAAAUGAAGUUAAAACCUGAAAUUAUUAGGCUGUUCCUCUAUUAUCUAAGUGCUCCUUUAUAUAUCCUUUCUGCUAUAAAGGGAAAUGUCCUGAACACUGCACCGGAUCAUUGCCUACCAUGGGACUAAUCUUACAAGGCUAAUGUCCUCUCUGUGUUAGGAUUAAAACCAUUUCUCAUCUUACUUAAGGGAUUAGUGCACCCAAAAAUUAAAUUCUGUCAUUAUUUAGUCACCCGCAUGUCAUUCAGAACCUGUAUGACUUUUUUCAGUUGUGGAAUGAAUCAUGAAUUUAUUUGUUUUGUAUUGUUUUGACCAUUUGUGCUGGUUGCUCUUUCAAUGCAAUUCCAGGGAAUGGAGACUGAGGCUUUCAAGCUUCAAGAAAAUGGCAAACACUGUGACCGUAAAGUGUCAUUAAAGUGGUCUAAACAACUUUAGCCUCAAGCCUCCUGAAGCCAAAUGAUGGUUUUCUGUGAGGAACCUACAAAAACACAGUCCAACAAAUGAACAAACAAUUAAAAAUCUUAAUCAUUCACCAUGGAAAACAAUUAGUGAUUUGGCAAAAAUACAAUUUUAAUGGCAUGCCAAUUAACCUUUGGAACAAUAGAGACUUUAAAUGUGAAAAUAAAUGAUUAUAACAAUAUCAGGGCUCUCAAUAUUAACAAAUGUGAUUAACACAUUAUAAUAAAUAAACACAAAUUACUGAAGCAUGUGAAAUUGCGUCAUUAACGUAAUUUACGUCACGCAGUUAGAUGAUCUUAGGCUGCUGUCACUCACCAAUCCAUCCAGAACUGUUCCUAACUACCACCUCAUCGGCCAUGGGACUGCGCGAUUGAUCUCCUUCGGUGAAUCAGUACCCAGAGGUAAAAUUUAUCCAUUAACCAUCCUUGAGCAGGAAGCCAUGGAGGAGUAUAUUCGGGAUGCUUUACAACAGGGCUACAUCAGACGGUCUACUUCCCCUGCUGCUUCUAUCUUCUUUUUCGUGGCCAAGAAGGACGGAGGCUCGUGGCCCUGAUUUGACUACUGGCCCUCAACAAAAUCACUGUCAAGUUCCGAUAUCCCCUUUCUGUCGUCCCUGCUGCUCUGGAACAUCUCCAAGGUGCGAAGAUCUUCACCAUGUUGGACCUCCGCAGCGCGUCCAACCUCAUCCGUUAUGCCUUAUGAGCUGGUCAACGCCCCCUCCGUAUUCCAGGAUUUCAUGCAUGAGGUGCUCCGGGAGUUUCCUCAUCGAUUCAUGCUGGUCUACAUAGACGAAAUCCUGAUCUACUCCCGGAGCCAAGUCGAACAUUGCCGUCACGCUGCGGAAGGCCCCCCAGAAGCUCAGAUAAUUUCAUCUCUUUCUCAAAGCUGAGAAGUGUCAAUUCCACAAGUCUGAAAUCCAGUUCCUUGGUUACAUCGUCAACGAAAAUGUAAUCUCCAUGGACAAGAGGAAGGUGAAAGCUAUUCACAACCAGUCGAUUCCCAAAACCAUCAAAGCACUUCAGAGAUUUCUUGGAUUCACUAACUUCUACCAUUGGUUCAUUCAUAACUACAGCUCCAUCACCAAUCCACUAACCUCUCUGCUCUGUGGUAAGCCCAAGUCUUUGUCCUGGUCUUCUGAAGCCUCCUUCAAUACCCUGAAAGAAGCUUUCUGUUUUGCAACGCUCCUCACUCAUCCUGAUCCAAAUCGUCCAUUCGUUGUGGAGGUGGACGCCUCUACCACUGGUGUAGGAGUGGUGCUUUCCCAGCAGCAGGAGAUGCCUCCCAAACUCCAUCCAUCUGCUUAUUUCUCCCGCAAAUUCAACCCUGUCGGAGAGGAAUUACAACAUCAGAAAACGCAAGCUCCUUGCCAUCAAACUAGCUCUGGAGGAAUGGAGGCACUGGCUUGAGGGGGCUCAAUAUCUGUUCACUGUCCCGUUCCCAAUCACCCCUGGUCACAUAUAGGGGUGGAUUUCAUCACUGACCUUCCUCCAUACCAAGGUAACACUUGCAUCUUGGUAAUUGUGGAUCGUUUUUCUAAAUCAUGUCGUCUUGUUCCCCUCAAGGGAUUGCCCACUGCAAUGGAGACCGCUGAACUUCUUUUCAUUUUCAGAGUCUGGAGAGCUUUUAUGAAACUUCCAGACGUGACUGUCAAGUCAAGUCAUGUCACCUUUAUUUAUAUAGCGCUUUUUACCAUGUAGAUUGUGUCAAAGCAGCUUCACAUUGAUAACUGGUACAUUAUUUGGCUGCACAGCAGCUCUUAAAGAAUAGUGUCAAUGCAGGCAGAUCAAAGCACUGUUGAAUAUCAAAUGUCAAGUCAAAUGUCAAGUGUCCCCAACUAAGCAAGCCAGAGGCGACAGCGGCAAGUGACUGUAAGCCUCUCCUCAGGGCACCAUACUCAAACCAACGGGCAGAUAGAAAGGAAGGUACAGGAAGUUGACCGUCUCCUCUGAACCUUCUGCCAUAACCACCAGAACUCCUGGAGCCAGUAUCUAGCUUAGGCCGAGUAUGCACAAAACCUGUCGGCGAGCCACAGGUCUUACUCCAUUUCAGUGCGUACUCGACUACCAACCACCCUUGUUCCCCUGGUCGGGAGAACCAUAGGAUGUACCAUCAGUCAACCACUGGUUCCAGGAAAGUGAGAGGGUCUGGGUCUCAGCUCAUCACCAUCUUCAAAGGGCUAUAUGGAGACAGAAACAACACACUGACACACGUAGAUCCACCACUCCAGGCUAUCAUCCGGGUCAGAAGGUAUGGCUAUCAACCAAGAACAUCAGGUUACGGCUGAGUCCCAAGUACACUGGCCCCUUUGAAAUCACCAAGGAGACCAAUCUGAGCCUGGUGAUAGUGGUGUACCUCCCUUGCCUUCCGUGGUGGAUGAUGGUGGAGUCUUUACAGUUCGAGAGAUCAUGGACACAAGGCGCCGAGGUGGUAUACUGGAAUAUUUGGUGGAUUGGGAGGGCUACGGCCCUGAGGAACGAUCCUGGGUUCCUAGAGGUGACAUACUGGAUCCUGAAUUACUCACCACCUUCCACAGCACCCAUCCUGAGAGACCUGCACCACGCAGCAGAGGUCACCCACUUCCUCAUUGUUGGAGUCGUCAGCUCUCAGGAGCGGUCCGUGGAGAGGGGGGUACUGUCACGGAAUCACCAGACUCCACCCACACACAGCCACAAAGAUCACAAUAACCAGAAUUUUAAUCACCACCAGCUGUCACUUAUUUCACCUGCACCAGUUAUAAGGACUCUCCACACACACACACUCACUGUCUAGUCUCAUCUUAGACUUACCUCAUGUUUCUCCCAGCUUGUUCCUUACCUGAUGAUUCCUUACCUGCUGUUCCUCUCUGCACCCGAGUCUCCAUUCUCCCCGUUUCCGAUCUCCAGUCUCCAGCUCCUUGUCUCCAGUCUCCAGCUCCAUCUCCUUCUCCAAGUGUUGUGUGUGUGCACUGCAAGAAAAGAAAGGAAAGUGUAUCUACUCAUCAGUGACUGAGAAAUGCAUGUGUGUAGCAACGUACCUGUCUGUUAUUCACCUGCUGUGUCUUCAAUACUCACCUGCCUCACGAUUCGCCAUCACCAUUCUGCUGUUUUUAAAUAAAGCUUGUCUUUUAUAAAAUACA